GAUGAACGCUAGCGGCAGGCUUAAUACAUGCAAGUCGUGGGGCAGCAGGACGGUAGCAAUACCGUUGCUGGCGACCGGCAAACGGGUGCGGAACACGUACACAACCUUCCUUUAAGUGGGGAAUAGCCCAGAGAAAUUUGGAUUAAUACCCCGUAACAUGGUGAAAAGGCAUCUUUUUAUCAUUAUAGCAGCAAUGCGCUUAAUGAUGGGUGUGCGGCUGAUUAGGUAGUUGGCGGGGUAACGGCCCACCAAGCCUUCGAUCAGUAACUGGUGUGAGAGCACAACCAGUCACACGGGAACUGAGACACGGGCCCGACUCCUACGGGAGGCAGCAGUAAGGAAUAUUGGGCAAUGGAGGCAACUCUGACCCAGCCAUGCCGCGUGGAGGAUGAAGGUCCUCUGGAUUGUAAACUUCUUUUAUAUGGGACGAAAAAAGGGUUUUCUAACUCGACUGACGGUACCAUAUGAAUAAGCACCGGCUAACUCCGUGCCAGCAGCCGCCGUAACAC
rnacentral:rRNA from 1 species